UACGAAGGGGGCUAGCGUUGUUCGGAAUUACUGGGCGUAAAGGGCGCGUAGGCGGUGUGUCAAGUCAGGCGUGAAAGCCCCGGGCUCAACCUGGGAACAGCGCUUGAGACUGGCACGCUCGAGUUCGGGAGAGGAUGGUGGAAUUCCCAGUGUAGAGGUGAAAUUCGUAGAUAUUGGGAAGAACACCGAUGGCGAAGGCAGCCAUCUGGACCGACACUGACACUGAGGAGCGAAAGCGUGGGGAGCGAACAGG
rnacentral:rRNA from 1 species